rnacentral:rRNA from 1 species
UGGGGAAUAUUGGACAAUGGGCGAAAGCCUGAUCCAGCGACGCCGCGUGUGUGAAGAAGGCCUGCGGGUUGUAAAGCACUUUCGAUGGGAACGAAAUGUGCCGGGUUAAUACCCCGGUAAGCUGACGUUACUCAAUGAAGAAGCACCGGCUAACUCUGUGCCAGCAGCCGCGGUAAUACAGAGGGUGCGAGCGUUAAUCGGAAUUACUGGGCGUAAAGCGUGCGUAGGCGGCCCGCCAAGUCAGAUGUGAAAGCCCCGGGCUCAACCUGGGAACGGCAUUUGAAACGGGCGGGCUGGAGUUGGGUAGAGGGGAGCGGAAUUCCGGGUGUAGCGGUGAAAUGCGUAGAUAUCCGGAGGAACACCAGUGGCGAAGGCGGCUCCCUGGACCCAAACUGACGCUGAGGCACGAAAGCGUGGGUAGCAAACAGGAUUAGAUACCCGGGUAGUCCCUGAGCGGGCUGGCAAGGCGCAU